rnacentral:rRNA from 1 species
UUGAACGCUAGCGGGAUGCCUUWWCAUGCAAGUCGAACGGCGCACGGACUUCGGUCUGGUGGCGACGUGGCGAACGGGUGAGUAAUGUAUCGGAACGUGCCCAGUNAGCGGGGGAUAACUACGCGAAAAGCGUNAGCUAAUACCGCAUACGCCCUACGGGGGAAAGCAGGGGAUCUUCGGACCUUGCACUAUUGGAGCGGCCGAUAUCGGAUUAGCUAGUUGGUGGGGUAACGGCCUACCAAGGCGACGAUCCGUAGCUGGUUUGAGAGGACGACCAGCCACACUGGGACUGAGACACGGCCCAGACUCCUACGGGAGGCAGCAGUGGGGAAUUUUGGACAAUGGGGGAAACCCUGAUCCAGCCAUCCCGCGUGUGCGAUGAAGGCCUUCGGGUUGUAAAGCACUUUUGGCAGGAAAGAAACGUCGCGGGCUAAUACCCCGCGAAACUGACGGUACCUGCAGAAUAAGCACCGGCUAACUACGUGCACAACG